AUGUGUGAUCCAGAAGGGAUAGAUAGGAGUUUUCUCAAUGAGGGGGUGGUUCCUGUUACCAUUAUAAAAGAUUACAAAGUCAACAUAAUCUUUGCCUGGGACUGUCCCAGUUAGCCUCAAACUAGGUUAGUUAUUAAUAGUACCUUUAUUUUUUACUCUAAAACAGGUUCUGUUUUAAACAAUAAAUUAUGUGGUCAGCUACUAUACAUUUAUGCACCUUUAUGAUGUUUAUUAUGAGGCUUUCCAGGUGGUGCUAGUGGUAAAGAACCCACCUGCCAGUGCAGGAGAUGUAAGAGACAUGGGUUCGAUCCCUGGGUCAGGAAGAUCCCCUCGAGUAGGGCAUGGGAACCUACUCCAGUAUUCUUGCCUGGAGAAUUCCAUGGAUAGAGGAGCAUGGCAGGUUCCAUGGGGUUGCUAAGAGUCGGACAUGGACUGAGCGACUGACACAUGAACUUCCUUGACUGACCGUGAAGCUCCCCUCAGUUCCUCCGUUUUAUUUGUAUUUCUUUUUAAGACAUUCGAUAUUCUACCCUGCAUUAUGUAGUUAUUUAGUACAUGUUUCCUGAUGUCCUUACCAGUAAGCUUUUUGGGGUAACCUCUAGGUCCAAUGCCUAGUGCUUAUUUAGAAAUGCAAUCUCUCUGAGUUGAAUGAGGGAAAAAAUCAAUGAAAGAGAAAAAAAGAAACAGGGUGAGAAAUAAGACAUACACUUAAAGUUUAAAGAAGCAGAGAAUUGAGAUGUGGUAUUAAUAAAUGGGAAGAAGUAAGUUAAAUCUUCAGUGUAGUGGUGUUUCAAAUAAAACAAGUAUCUCAGAGGAACUAAAAAUAGGAGCAGAAUUUUUCCCCACUGAUGCCUGGCAUAUUAUUUGUCUAUACGUGGAGAUUUGACUAAUUACUGGAGUAGAGUUUUUGCUGCAACUUCAAAUGAUUUGGAAAAAAGACCACACGAAUGAACUCAGUUGAUAUGGGAAAACUAGUAUUUUAUGUCUAGAGGCAUAAUCAAAGAUUAGAGCUUGGGUAUCAGAUCCAGGGCUAAGAAUUGGACUCUUAGGAUCUGUUCUUUUUCCUGUGGUCCUGUGGUCUCAUUUCUAGUUACCUUCCUCCUGUUAGAGUCUGCCUUACCUCCCACAUCUUCCUCACUCCCCAAGUGUGGUUUUUAUGUUUAGAUUUUUGAAUGGGCAGUAUUCACAGGGAGCAACAUUUUAAAACCUAAAAUUGCAACCUGGGUUGAAUGUUUUGGUCACAAUGAUAAGAAUAGUGGAGCACAGAACAUCUCUUACAACUUUGUCCAAGACUAAGCUGGAGAUUGGAACUGAGGUGAUACAGAAGUCAGAAAGAACAUGCUAGAAGAUUCUAGAAAGUCCCACAGUUGUAGAGCCUGGCAGUCUGGAGGACAGGGGGCAGGGCAAAUAGUGGAUUUAGAGCAGAAGGAUACCACGGGAGGUUUAGGAGGCACAAGCUCCCUGGGAGAAGGGUAGUAGGUGGGGUGCCGUCCAGUGCACCAUGGGGGCGGGGCCAGGAGGAGGGCAGUGAGGGAGGGAGGAGGCAGCAGAAUUUUAAGUGGCAGGGGUCCACCCACCAUUGGCAGGGAUUCUCUCCUGAGGAGCUUGGGUCCUUCUCAAAGGAGCAAGAUUUUCUCACAACUCUAUCAAAAAGUCAUGUUUUCCCUUCUCUUUUACCCCAGUGACUAUCUCCAGAAAGUAUCUAGAAAAGGAGGGAAAUAGGAAAGCCUGAAACAAAAAGCCUGAAAAGCCCUCUAGAGAAGUGGACAGCGUUGCUUCAGGGGGAGCGGAUUUGAUUGGAGGGAAAGUUUGGACAACACCAGCAUCACCCAGUUCCUAAUUUUCCUCAAAAGACCCAGUGCUUCGCACCUCCUGUGGGAUCCUAGUUCCCUGACCAAGGAUUGAACCUGGGCCCUCAGCAGUGAAGCACAGCAGAAUCCGAACCACUGGACUGCCAGGGAACUCCUUCAUGGAGAAUAUGAUCCCCGCCACGUCCCCCGCAUUCACAUCCAGGAUGAACAUUAAAUUCACACAGGGAAUUUUUGAACUUGUGUGUAAAUUUGAGCUUGCUUUGUUUCAUAUUGUAAAUUGUCUUACGGGGUGCUUUCUGACAUUUUGCUAUGAACUUCUAACUUGCUUCUAAAUUGCUGAAUGCCACAGUUUCCUGACUAUUCUAGUUUUCUCUGAAAUGCACAGGAGAUGUCUGUAGGUUUGGCAAGCCUCUCCUCAGCCUCUUCUCUGCACUCUUAUUGCAAAAGUAUGCGUUUAGCAUUUAAGAGCCUGUAAUCAUCUUCCCUCUUAGCUCCCUUAAGCAGACUUGUGCUCACACUUUUAAUGAUGGUAAAACAGUUGUGUUUUUAAUCAGCUCAUUUAGAAGACCAUAUCUAUCCUUAACCUUUGUCAUAUAUUCCUCCAAAGCUCAACAUUUCUUCCAAACUUUGAUAAUGUUAUUUUUGUAAAUGCAUGCCAAGUCUGUGAAUCAGGACUUUUUAAAAAAAUCUAAACUUGUUUUUCAGAGGUACCAGUAUGAGAAUUGUGGGUGCGGGAAGCAGCGUAAGAAACUGAAGGGUUGGAAGGACUUUCCUGGUGGUCCAGUGGUUAAAACUGUGCUACCACUGCAGGAGGCCUGAGUUCGAUUCCUGGUCAGGGAACUAAGAUCCCACAUGCCACACAGUUAACCCCCCCAAAAACAAACACCAAAAUGAACCAAAAAUACCUGAUG